UACGAAGGGGGCUAGCGUUGUUCGGAAUCACUGGGCGUAAAGCGCGCGUAGGCGGCUUAACAAGUCAGAGGUGAAAGCCCAAAGCUCAACUUUGGAACUGCCUUUGAAACUGUUAAGCUGGAGUGUUGGAGGGGAUAGCGGAAUUCCUAGUGUAGAGGUGAAAUUCGUAGAUACUAGGAGGAACACCGGUGGCGAAGGCGGCUAUCUGGACAACUACUGACUCUGAGGCGCGAAAGCGUGGGGAUCAAACAGG
rnacentral:rRNA from 1 species